UCCCUGGCAGUCCAGUGGUUAGGACUCUGUGCUCCCAUUGCAGGGGGCGUGGGUUCGAACCUAGUCAGGGAA
rnacentral:tRNA from 1 species